CCUGUUGGGCUCCACGUCAGAUUCCAGGCCAGCUGGGCCGACGUGGGCAGCGUCAGCAGCAGUUUCAUUGGAAUGUGACAGGUUUGACAGGAGCCACGUUAUUAUCUUUCCCUUGGCUAGCGGCUCCACUGUCGGGCCGUGGUGUUGGGCAAAGAUCAGCGCGGGGGAUGGUCUGUGUCCUGGGAAGACACGCAACCAUAUGUUGGGUGUCCUGCCUCGUCACAUUAAUUGAUUGAUGCAGGAGAGUGAAGGACUGACUGCCUGCUUCCCUGAUACAACAAAGAUUAGGCCACCACCGCAGCCCAACAACCCCUUCGCGAGCUGGCAGGUAUUGUAGCUUUGAGAAGUGGUGUAAGAGAGAGAUGAAGUGGACAGUGAACCCUGCUUGGUGCCUGUCAGCCAUUUGGAAUCUUGACUGAUUGAAACUUUUGUCGUCACAAGAGUUGGAGAUGAGUAAGGAUGGACUCUGCUGCCUGUCAUUCCUGGUCUCCGAGUUGACCCGUCCAUCAUCACUGCUCUCUUCAGCGGGUGCUCCACCCAGCUCGUUACUCUAGUUGGCCCAUCUAUCAUCACUGCUGAAGAGCACCCAGCUCUGUCAAUCCUGGCUGUCUUCAAGUACAAGUGGAGUGAGUGUCUUCAUCAUCGCAGUUGUAUAGUAGAUGGAGCUGUGAAUGAACCAAGCCACACGUCAGCGCAAUGAGAUUGGUGGUCAAGAAAUCGUGGUGUUGCUGUUGAGGCUGGGAACACUAUGGAAAGAAAGACGUGUUUUAAACUUCAGAAGUUGCUAGUGAUAUAUAAUAUUUAAAGAAAAGCUCAAAUGUACUCUGCCAUAUAUAUAUAUAUAUAUAUAUAUAAUUGAUGUACAAGUAGAAAGAAAUAAAGGUUGUAAAAAAGCAAUAUACACUACUUUGCCAUGUCUUGUAAUUAUAUAUAUAAUAUAAUAAUAGGAAAAAAAUAAAUAACAUGAAUA